rnacentral:lncRNA from 1 species
AUUAAUUGUUAGCCUAUAUUGAGCUAUAUUUUAAUAUAUCAUAUUUUCUAUAAAAACCAUGAACUGGUAGACUAUCUGAUGGAUGACGAUGGGAUGCUAGAACAUAUUUUAGAAAACCCCUCUUUACAGUAUAGACGAUAGAUGACUUUAUACUAUGAAGUGGUUAUUUUUUAGAGGCAUAACUAUUUGCGCAUGCAUAAAAACUUUUCAUUUCUUUUUUAUAUCCAUUGCCUCUUCAAGGGCAUUACAUUAUCUCUUCCAGGGUAGUUGUAAUUUAGAGAAUGUGGACAUAACCUCCUCUUGAGCGUUAUAGAGCUUGGAUCUUAAUCUCCACUUCUGGGAGUUGAGUCAUUUGGAACCUA